GAUGAACGCUAGCGGCAGGCCUAAUACAUGCAAGUCGGACGGGAUUGGAGAGCUUGCUUUCCAUGAGAGUGGCGCACGGGUGCGUAACACGUAUGUAACCUACCUUGUUCAGGGGGAUAGCCUCUCGAAAGAGAGAUUAAGACCGCAUAACAUUGCGAUGUGGCAUCACAUUGUAAUCAAAUAUUUAUAGGAACAAGAUGGGCAUGCGGAACAUUAGCUAGUUGGUAAGGUAACGGCUUACCAAGGCUACGAUGUUUAGGGGAUCUGAGAGGAUGACCCCCCACACUGGUACUGAGACACGGACCAGACUCCUACGGGAGGCAGCAGUAAGGAAUUUUGGACAAUGGGCGAAAGCCUGAUCCAGCAAUGCCGCGUGCAGGAAGAAGGCCUUCGGGUUGUAAACUGCUUUUGUACGGAGCGAAAAGGUCCUUUCUAAUACAAGGGGCUCAUGACGGUACCGUAAGAAUAAGCACCGGCUAACUACGUGCCAGCAGCCGCCGUAA
rnacentral:rRNA from 1 species